rnacentral:rRNA from 1 species
UACAGAGGGUGCAAGCGUUAAUCGGAAUUACUGGGCGUAAAGGGCGCGUAGGCGGUUAUUUAAGUUAGAUGUGAAAUCCCUGGGCUUAACCUAGGAAUUGCAUCUAAUACUGGGUAACUAGAGUAUUGUAGAGGGUAGUGGAAUUUCCGGUGUAGCGGUGAAAUGCGUAGAUAUCGGAAGGAACACCAGUGGCGAAGGCGGCUACCUGGACAAAUACUGACGCUGAGGCGCGAGAGCGUGGGGAGCAAACAGGAUUAGAUACCCUGGUAGUCCACGCUGUAAACGAUGAAGACUGGAUGUUGGAGAGCUAAGACUCUUUAGUAUCGAAGCUAACGCGAUAAGUCUUCCGCCUGGGGAGUACGACCGCAAGGUUAAA